AGCUCUACCAGUUUUACACAGAUACAGGAUGAUCAUAUCACAUAUUGUCAUCGGAAUUUCACAUGGACACGGAAGAUUACCGGAUGUACACUAAGCCUACACCGAGGUGAAAGUAAUUGUACUUGAUAAACAUGCUCUUGGGCAUAUUAUUUAAAUCAGGAUGUUCCCACAUUUUUCCUAUAGUUCUUAUCCAAGCCCAUUGCACAUAUUUUUUGUUAUUUGCAGUAAUUCUGAUCCCUCCUUCAUUAUAGCUUAAACCAUCAUAUAUGAGAGGGAUAUAUCCCACUGACCCUUUCACUGGGGACAAUCAGACAUAUCUAUUCUUUGUACCUGCGCAAAACUGCAGAAUUUGCUUCAAUGUACAAGGACAUUCAUGAAAAGUAUCUGUCAAGGCUCGUUCACAUUUACCACAUGAACUGGCCGUGUUGUGAAAGCAGUAUGGAACUGCACAGCACAGGUACCAGACAACACAUUAUCUCAGUAUUAAAAAUAUUUAGAAAGCCAUUUCCCAUUUUACCUCCUAAAUGCAGCAGAGAAAUAGUUACCCAGGCUGGUCUGUGCAAGUGUGACUAGGCUGCAGUUGUGUUGCUGCAAUGAAAUUCCCAUCAAUAGCUGAGAAAGCUGGACCAUUGCAUUCCUUUAGCCCUUGCCUAUGAGAGCUGCCUUUGUCCUUCACUUGAGGGCCGAGCCACAGCAAACACAGCUCCUAUAUUCCCAAAACAUAGCCCGACAGUACCUCAACGAGUUCAGUCACAGAAGGUUUCGUCAGUGUGAAUAUCAACUGCUGUUAAUAGUGCAGGCAAGAAAUGUGUGAGCCCUACAGCAGGGAAUAUGGAAGUUUCAAUGCAACAAGUCAGUGAGCAGAAGAUAACUAUCCAGUAGCUCAUUCAACACUAUCAAUGCCAUUAAAGUUCCCUCCAAUUGGUUCCGACAGUCCUCAGCCAAAAUGUCUAUCCAUGCACGUCUACAACAGCUGGAGGCUUAUGUCUUCAGCUUGAUCACCAGACUACAAGAAUUUGACACUCUCAGAUUCAUCUCCUUUAUAGUCAUCUUGGCAUUCGUCGGUACUUUUCUCCUGCUAGUUCUCGUCCCUGUUGUAUACUGCUGCUAUUCCUGCAUUUGUCUCAGAAAACUUAGCAGGGUGAAGCCUACACCAGUAGUAAUCCCAACGAACAUUGGACCAUGAAGCAAGCAAUGGACAAAUAUGGCGAAUUGGACGAUGGACUUUAUCAUUUUGUUGCAGCGGCAAUGUAUCACAACCUGCAUGGGAUAAACCAGCUGCUCGAUGCACCAUGUCCCAUACAGACCAUCCUGGUGCACAGUUACAUUGGAUGGAUAUAAAACUAAAUCUCUAAUACAGAAUACCCCAAAUCUGGGAAAUAUGAGUAGUUGUGCAGAUCCAGUAUUUAUUCAAUAUUCUAAACUCUUCUCAGCUAUUAAAAUACAUAAAGUCGGAUAGAAAACAAUUUCACUCUCUCCAUUAUUCAAAUGCUUCACCAUAUACCACAGGACAAACCAUGUAUUUACUGAUAUCACAUAUAAUAAUCCGAACCGCAAUAGCAAAUACUAAUGGGAAGAAGACUUGCAUAUUGUUCCAUUCGAAGGCCACCCCGUCAGUCAUGUAUUUUAUGAAGUGUAAUCAUAAUCACAUAUUUCAAUAUUUUAAAUAUUGGAGCAGCCAAUGUGCUCCCAUAAACAGGAUGAGGGAGUGGCCUAAUUUAGUUAAACUGAUUGAGGGAUUCACAUACUUUCAUAUUUCUUAUGACGCAGGAAAACACUAUUCAGCCUCACAGAUCAAUCCUAUUCACUUGCUCUUUGUCCCAACAACAUAAUCCUCCCACAGUCCCAUUAAUUCUAUCAUCUACACCACACCAGGGGCAAUUUCCCUACCAACCUGCACGUCUUUGCAAUGUGGGAGAAAACCGGUACACCUAGAGAAAACACAGUCACAGGAAGAGCGCCAAAACUGCUCCAGAGGUCAGGGUUGAACCCAGAUCCCCGGACCUGUGAGCAGCAGCUCUAUCAGCGGUGCCAUCCAAUAUUGAUUAUUACAUUUGAGAUAUUCCUAAUGUCAUCAAGUGAUUUUGUACAUCCACCCAAGAGAUUAGCGAUGACCUCAGUUACUAUCAUCUCAUCUGAGAGAAUGCCUGUUCAUGGUAUGGCAUACCUGAGAUACACCAAGCCAGUUACCUCCACCCAAGUCCACAACACACUGAUCACCAUCCUCCCCAGGUCACAAUAGGACUCACUUAAGCUCAAAACACCCAAUAUGACCACUAACUCUACAAUCUGUUAGGGCACCAAUUACAGACGAGAAACAAUUUCAGCCCUACACAAUUCUUGAAUCACUGCAAGCAACCAAACCAGUUUCUGUGUAACCUGCUUUAAGACUAUACAGAUAAAAAUAAAAAAUGAUGGAAACACACAGCAGAUCAAGCUGGAUCUGUGGAGAGAAAUAGUGCUUGAGGUUGAAGACCUUUUGUCAGAACUGGGAAAGAGAUAAAAGCAGCCCAAUAAGCUGCAGCCAGAGAACAUUCUAUGAAAGGGUGAAAUCAGGGAGACCAUGGUGAUGAGCUGUAAACAAUGAGCAGUCAGAGUGAGAACACAGCAAAAACAAUAUCUGACAAGAGAAUGAAGAAGUGUGAAAAGCAGAGCAGCAAGACAUGAUCAGUAGGUCAGGACUUCCACACUCAGAGAGAAGAGCAUGAACACAGCAAAUGCUGCCUUGUUUUCUUUCAUUAUCGUUUGUCUGGAAAUGAUAUUGUAUGCUGGUUGUUUCUAUUGUAUAGUAUUGUAUAGUAAUUUGAACACAUCUGUUUUUCACAAAAAUUGGUGAGAAAAAUUUGAAGCAAUAUUCCAAUAAAUAAAAUCCAAGAGGUAGAAAUAUAAACAGAACCACCUAACGGUUCAAACAGAAUCUGUAUGGAUCAAAGUUUGGUCUUUAUGCUUUGAGUGUGCAUCCUUCAGACAGACAUACAAUUGGUUGUAAACAAUAACCCCUCUAUUAUUACUUUGUAGUUCAGUGGGCAGAGCACUUGUGCCGUUUAUUCUUGUGUGCAACACUAGGAAGGACACAUUUAUCCACUCAGAGCCUCAUCGGCUCCACAUGCCAUAUUGGUACUGGUAGUAUUCAGUAUUUAGUCGUCCCUGUUUCUUCAAUCAAGUUUCAACAGUUUGAUAUGGAAGCAAUUUUUUUUUUGUGGCCAAAAGAACAAAGCAAAGAAAAUUUAAUUGGUAAGGAUGGGUGAAAUAGUUUACUAUUGUAAUAAUUAGUUUAGUUUGUAAUGCAGUCGCCGUAUCAAAAUCAAUGAUGGAAUGUUAUUUUGAAAUUGACCCAAAACGGUCUGAUGAAAAAACUCAAUAAACACAGGCAAAACAUCAUAUCUCCCAGUACUUUAAAUGAGGAAGCAUGACUAUCUAGGUGUUAUUUGCAAACUUCAGACAAACAAGAUUGUUAAUAAAUUUAGUGUCUGCAGCCCAACCCAAUAUGCCAAAGUGUUUUCCUGGCAACGUGCAGGUUAGGUUAGGUUGAGACUCUUGAAAGGCGCCCAUAAAUAAAAUUUAUUAUUAUAUGAUCUGCAUGUAGUCCAAGCUUAUAAAUGGCUUGAUGCGAGAGAUAACAGCCAUUAUCUAUGCAAUUUUAGUAUUAACAUGUACCACAUUCUUCCCCUUAUGCAAAUACUGACUAUCUGCACUCUAGUGCUAUCAACAAAUCUAAUCCAAGGGCAAAGUCAAACCAGGUAGUUCCAAAUCAUUUUGAGAACGUGACUAAUAAGUUCAAAGAUCAGUUGAUAAAUUGUCUUAUUUCAUCCAACAAUAAUGAUUCUGGUCUUUCACAAGGAUUUUAUACUGAGAAUAUGACGUGAAUAUUAGCAACAGAUCAAGCAAGUAGAGACAACAACUUGAAGGAGUCUGAUCCACUUCUUGUGACUUAGAUAACUGAAACCAACCCUCAACAUUCAGAACCAAUAUAACACGACAAAUUUCUGAAAAUUAUCCUCAGAAUGACAUUCCUUGAUCUCUGGGUCAUGCUGAUAAACAUGCAGGGCAAAAAUUAAAUUUGUUAGCCCAGAUUCUUCAUCUGCCUCUUUCUCAAACCAUUUAUGUUCUUGCAAUGGACAUUAGUUAUUGCCAACUAACAUGUGGAACAAGUUAUCGAGGAAAAUACAGCCCAAUCAGUUGGAAUGCAAAUGGAAAAUUAAAAUCAUCAAUCCACUGGCAAUUCUAACUCAUUAUCCUCCUUACACCAACCAACACCUCUCCCAUCACUUCAAAACUAAGGAACUUGUGUCCUCUAAAAGUCUAAUGCACUUAAAAGUCAGUCUGAUUUUACUGAACGACGAUAUCUAUGUACCAUCUCCUAAUUUUUUUCAGAAAAAUAAAGUUAAAUACAGGUCUUUUUCCUUCAAUACUGUUCCUUAUUCCCUUAGUUACAUCUCAUCUGAUGGCUCGCUUACCCCAAAGCAAAAGACAGAACUCUUGUUUCAGUACACUUGAGCCCAUGAUCCAGGCUGGCAUUCUAACACAGCUAGAGGGUGUAUAAGCACUGGCAAUCCUUCAAAUCAUAAGCAAAGCUACUUAUAGAAAAGCUACAUGAAGAAAAGCGGGAGGAUUCUUGCUGGUGUCCUAACAAGUUUUUCCUCAACCAUAUCACCAAAAUACAAGGUCAAGGAGAAUUGAUCUCAUCAACCCGUUUGAGACUCUGCUGUGUGCUAAUUAACUGCUAAAGUACUUCAUUAGGCUAACCCAAAUGUGAAAAGUACUACAUCUGCCCCUCUUUGCUACUGCAGAAUACAAAAUACCAUUUGCCACUACAAAAUGCAAUAAAAGUAAACAUGUUUCAAUUCUUAUUUACUUAACUAAAUAAGAAAGUUACAGAUAAGGAAGUUGGUCAGAGCUAAGUGCAAUUUAUCCAAUGCAGCAACCUCAGGUUAAUAUUUAACACAAACGGACAAAUCCCAAAGAAAAACUGAACACACACCAGAAGACUCGCGGACCAACAGCAGCCGCCAUUUCACCAGAACUGGGCUUCUUCAGCACAACGAUGGAUGAAUCCUCGAUCCCAGGCUCCGGAAUGGCACCGGAGUUAAUGAGUCGAAUAUUGAAUGAUGACUGGUCCUUGGGGGCAUUUGUGGUCAUUAUGACUUUUGUCGCCAUGUUUCUGAUUUUGGUCUUAUUCACUAUCACGUACGGAUUCUGUUCGAAGUCUGGUUCAAGAGCCAGAUCCAACUAGACGCCCGUGAAGAUCUGGCAGUGUCUGGGUCCAACAUAGAGAACACCAACAAACUGAAUUGUUCCUCCAAUUUGCAUGUUGCCUCACUCCGACAGAGGUGGAGACCCACUACAGAAAGGUCAGAAUGGGAAAGGAAGUUAAAAUAUUUGGCAACCGAGAGAUCAAGUAGGCCAAGGCGGACUGAGCGCAAGUGUUGAGCGAAACUAUACCCCAGUCUGCGCUUGAUCUCAAUAACCCACGCAGUCACAACUAAAGGAAUUUUGACAACCAUACCACAACACCAGGACGUCACACAUCCUGAUAUUGUCAUCAAGGACCUCAAGAGAGCGGGAACAUGAACCCCAAAACAUCAAGAAGAGCUAACCGAUUAUUCCAUUGCUAAUCAACACAACUCUGAAGCACAAAUGCAGUACGGGCAUGUCCAGUACUCCCUGAAUAAGACACUGCAGAGAAGCAUUCAAGGAAGUUGAACCUCCAGCAGCAACCCAGUAACACCAGUGUGCCGAGACAGCUCUGAGCUGUGAAGAACAUGAAAGUGAAUCUGUUCUACAGUUUACAUCCUUAGAAUAUAUACUCCAACACAUACUCCUGAACAGCUGCGUAUUUUAUCAGUGCAUUCUGUAGAUUUAAUGUUCAAACAUGGUGUGAUGCACUGAAUUCUACAGCAUUGCGAAGAAACUGUAAACAUCUCCAAACUCCAACCCUCAGCCUACUAUCGAUUGAUGAUACCAAUGAAAAUCAACACCUUUUCCAUAGGUUUGCAUGAUUAUUAGCCCAUACAUACCAUCAGAUGUGUAAGGUUACAGUAAAAUUUAGUUUUAGAGAUAAAGUGGAAACAGACCAUUCGGCCCACGGUCUGCGCCAACCAGCAAUCACCUGUGUAUUAGUUCUAUCCUACACACUAGGGACAAUUUACAGAAGCCAAUUAACCUAUAAACCUGCACGUCCUUGGAGUAUUGGAGGAAACUGGGGCAUCCGUGAAAACCCAGUCACAGGGAGAACGUUCAAACUCCAUACAGACAGCACCUGUAGUCAGGAUCGAACCCAGGUCCCGGGCAAUGUGUAGAUGCAACUCUACCACUGUGCUACUGUACUGUUCACUAUAUAUUGAUCAGCUUGGUAUCACCAUGUUAGAUUUAACCAAAGGGUUAGUUUGUUCAAUGUCUAUCCAGCACUCAGUUGAUAAAAGUCAACAAUAGUUUAGAUCUCGAACAAAUGGUGGAUGCUAUGACUUGGAUACUUAAAAAAAAAAAAAACCUUUCAUCAUAAAAGGGGAUAAUGUUCAUGCCACUUACAAAGCAACCCUGCUUCUCCUCAGACUUUCCCUGUAACCUAUUCUUCCCAUUUCCCAUCAAAUGUCCACCUACCAUUCAUCUCCACUAGGUCCAAUUUAUAGUGGCCAAUUAACCUACCAACCCAUCUUUAGGAUGUGGGAGGAAACCGGGAGAACGUGCAAACUCCACACAAACAAGGUCAGGAUCAAAUCCAGGUUGGAAGAGUUGUGAGGCAACAUCUCCACUAGCUGCCUACUAAUUCAUUACUCUACUGUUAAUCAUGAAUGUAUCUGAAUGCGCUCCAAUCAUAAUCUCCAUGAAAUUCCAAACGUCACCUUCCACCUGAUGGACAGCACUAGCAAAGAAAACAGUAAAUCUAUGCAAUAAGGUUCUAACUUGUAACUUGGUUAUUUAUGUUUCCAUACAUGGUAUACGGGCAGUGCAAGCAAGGCCUGUCAGGACAAGGAAUGUAUGGUGAUUUGGUUCAUGGACCAGCUCCCGGAGGCUUAGAGCACUGUUCCAGAGCCAGGCCAAACAUGGAAAUUAACAUAGUCAACAAAU